rnacentral:lncRNA from 1 species
AGGGACAGAGAGCAUCUCAGGGUAGAAGGAGAAGAAAGAUGGUGGCAGUCAGCAAGUUUGAAGGAUAGUGGCACACACCAGUUCUGCUUGGAAGCUGAUGGUAAGUUCCAGGAAUCCUGUUUCUGUCUCCAGUAACAGAGUUAUAGGAGCUCACCUCCCCAUCAGGCUUCUUGUCCUUGAGGAGUUGAUCGCCUGCUGAGCUUGCCUUGCAACAGAAACCAGCUGAAACAAAGAAUUGCUCUUUGGGGUUUACCCAUAUAAAGGCAGAGCUGAAAAUAAAACUUUGACCCUGGAUCAGAAA